ACAGGACGAUUGGGGAUGUUUUAUCACUCGAAUCGAAUCAUGUUUAUUCCAACAGUUUCUCCGUUUCUAGUAUCUUUUUGAGAGGCAACAGCCAUAUCUAGUCCCUGAUUUUCCUAGCAGGACAUACAAGGAUUGACCUUUUCACAAGACUUGAUUGAGACCAUUGCUCUGUUUGAAUUUCAAUGCAUAUCACCUUCAAUACCAUAUACGGUAGUUAGUAUCUUCUGUCACCACUUUUUAUCGAUCUAUAAACAGGAUUAUCAUAAGUUUAGAGUAAAA